GUCUCCUAACCUAAUGUUCUCUCAAUAGGUUGCGCCGUUUUGCUGUGGUCAUCAAGCCAUGUCAGGAAGGCACAUUUUGAGUUGAAGAAAUUCACCUGUACUUACGGAAACUCAAAACACUGUAUCUAUGAGGGCACUACUCCAGAUAUUGUUAUAUCUGAGACCAUACUAUUUUGGAAUUUUUAUAGGAGUGUUCUUCAAGUCUUUAUACCUGGAUGAGGUUCUAGUGGGGUCAAGUUUCUUUCUAAAAAAAAAACAAAAACAAGAAAAAACAAAACACACACACAAAACACAGUUUGGAGCCAAAAAACAUUUUCACCACCACAGAAAGUUCCUUUGGAAAACGUUUGCCGAGAUGAUAUCAGUGGUUGUCCUGAUGUGUUUUAAUAAAUUAUCAGGAUUCCUUAGAUGUUCCUUAGGGGCCCUGAGAAGAGCAAGGGGACCCCAACAAGCAGAUGGGGUUCUGAGUCCCUUAUCCUGGCUUCAACAGAAGGACCUCCAUUUUCAUCUGUUUUGAAUAAAAUGGAUACUGUG
rnacentral:lncRNA from 1 species